CUAGCCGUAAACGUUGAGAACUAAGUGUUGGGGAGACCCAGUGCUGAAGCUAACGCAUUAAGUUCUCCGCCUGAGGAGUACGCACGCAAGUGUAAAACUUAAAGGAAUUGACGGGGGCCCGCACAAGCAGUGGAGCAUGUGGUUUAAUUCGAGGCUACGCGAAGAACCUUACCAGGGCUUGACAGGAAACUUAAGACCCUAGAGAUAGGGGGAUAAUAAGUGAAACAGGUGG
rnacentral:rRNA from 1 species